AGAGAGAGAACGAGAGAGUGAGAGUGAGAGGAUAAGGAUCUCUAAAUUUCUCUCCAAGGUAAUGUACAACAACCAUCUUUCUUUUCUUUUCUUGAAAAAAAUUACGGUCAAAUUGUGCUAAUCCAUGGAUUCAAAUUGUACAACAACCAUCUUUCUUUUCUUUUCUUGAAAAAAAUUACGGUCAAAUUACGGUCAAAAAGAAAAAGGGAAGAACAUGCUCGCGAAGCUCCGGCCCCUCAUGGCGACGGCGGCGGCGGCGGCGGCGGCGGCGGCGAAGCCAGCUCCGGCUUUGUCGUUUUCCACGGCGGCGGCGGAGGGAGACGAACACGCGCACUACAACCACACCGACGCGUGCCACCACCUCCGGUGGACAGCCAAGGAGAGCUACGAGUACAUGUACGCGCGGCCGUGGAGCAGGGUGGUCGACUUCUACGCCGAGCUCGUGCGCACCGGCGCCGGGGCAGCGGGGCUCGCCGAUUUGUUUGGGAAGGAUGAGAAUGGUUACAGCCUUGAUACGAAUGGAGAAGAUUACACAGCACCAUCAGAAAAUCAAACAUCAACUAAAUCAUCCAAAGAUCGAGGAGGACGAUGGGAAAGAGUAACCUUCAAGAUUGUCCUUUCAUAUCAUGGGGGGUCAUUUGAUGGUUGGCAGAAGCAGCCUGGCCUCAACACUGUUCAAGGGUUAGUAGAAAAACAUCUUGGCCAGUUUGUUGACGAGAAGAAAGCUAAACAGCUUGAAGCAAGAUCAUUGCCAUUAGAAGGCUGUGCUGUUGUUGCUGGGCGCACAGACAAAGGGGUGACUGCCCUUCAGCAAGUUUGCUCAUUUUGUUAGUUGCACCUGAGAACACACUAUUGUUUUCCAGUGGUCCUUCAACUAAUUAUCCACUUUUAUGAACAUGUCAUAUUACAAACUAUUCCCUUUGUUCCAAAAUUUAGCUACCUUUCCACCUCUCAACCAAUCGCACCAAUCCCCAUUUAGUUUCUCCACCUACUUCCUCAUCUCAACCAAUCACAACAUCCAUCAUGUUUACCUUUUUCUUUAAUAUCUGUGGCCAACUCUAAAAUACCUUAUAUUUUGGGAUGGAGGGUCUACUUCUCAAGAAGAGCUUAUGUGCAGUUAUUUUGUAGAGUUUUUUUUUUUUUGGUUGAAAAUUUUGCUUUGUUUACAGAAGCAUUUGAACAAGUAAUUUGCUUCUGAUUAUAAAAUCAUUAACACAACAAUUUGUCAAUACCAAAUACACCACUGUUUUCCUAUCAAAGAAGUAAUAGCCUGGAGAUAUAGCAGUGCAGAACUCUGGCCUACGUGCAAUGAACUGCUAACCUUCUUAUUUGACUAACUCCACCAAUGCAUGCCAUUCAUUUCAUUUGAUAUGACAUGAAGAACUCAUUUGCACAAAUAAAUAGACAAUCCUUGUGUACUUAUGUGAGAAAUUAACUCUAAUGGAAUGCUGAGAUACACCAUGGGACUAGAUACAUUACUUCUCCUGAUAGCUGACAUGUGUAUUUACUUCUAAUUUCCUUAGAUACAUGGAGGAAGGAUGUAAAGUCUAGUGAUAUAAAGGAUGCAAUAAACAAGGCUGCACCUGAUAAACUAAGACCUUUGCAUGUGUCACAGGUCUCACGUGAAUUUCACCCUAAUUUUGCAGCCAAAUGGAGGAGAUACCUGUAUAUAUUUCCUCUUGACGAGGAUGUAAAACUAAUCUCAGGGGAAGAACAGUCCGCUAAAACAGUAGAGGGUCCUGAGUGCAACAUAAAACCUCAAAGCUUUGAUGUGGGUAAGGUUGACAAAAUCAUUAGACAACUGGAAGGAAAAUCACUAUCUUACAAGAUGUUUGCACGUGAUACACAAGCUUCACGAAGUGUUGGUCCACCUACAGAGUGUUUCAUGUUCCAUUCUCGAGCUGCAGUGGCCAAACUACACACUGCUGAUGAGAAUUGUGAAGAAGGCACCACCAGGGCCAUAUGCAUUGAGCUAGUCGCAAACAGGUUUCUGCGCAAGAUGGUUAGGGUUCUUGUUGCGACUGCCAUAAGGGAGGCAGCUGCUGGUGCUGAAGAAGAUGCUUUGCUGAACCUGAUGGAAGCCACUUGCAGGCGAGCUACUGCUCCCCCAGCGCCUCCAGAUGGGCUCUGUCUUGUUGAUGUUGGAUACGAGGAUUUCAAUAGACAAAGGUGUUUCAUUGUUGAUUAAACAGAACAGUCAUAUUCCUGUUGGAGCAGAACAAGAUAUACUGAUUCAACAAUCGAAAAUCUGAAUUUUUGGAUUCCCGAGAUGAAACUUAGAUCAUUCUGGUUGAACAGUGAACCUAUAAGCAGCACUCUCCUGUAGGAAAUCUGACCUGCUUCCUAGUUUCCAUGUAUCCAUCAACUGGAAUUUUUUGUAUUAUCUGAGACUGAAAGAGUGUUGCUUACACCAUUCGUUCAACUACGGUCAAAGUCUCUCUGAACUAAACUCUGAAGAAAGAAGAGGCCGCCGUGCAUGCUUUUUCAGGUUUUCACACUAUGUCGAAUAGACCAAUGCAUCUUCCUGGACCAAUAUUUGCUGUCAAAACAACAAUAUCACGACCAAAAUCAAGGUACAUUCCACCAUUUUAUAUGAAUGUGACAUAGAAAUGGGCAUAUAUAGCUGUCAAGUUCAGAUGAUUUUCAGAGAACAAAAGCAUAUCAACUUAAGGCAUAUCCCAGCAGCAACAACAUCAUCUACAACUAUUGCUAAUCACAUAUAUAAUUAUCCCUAGGCCUUGUUCUUGUCGUGCGAUAA